AGCGAAUCCGCGAGGAGGAGCGAAUCACAAAACUCGGUCCCAGUUCAGAUUGCAGGCUGCAACUCGCCUGCAUGAAGUUGGAAUUGCUAGUAAUCGCGAAUCAGAAUGUCGCGGUGAAUACGUUCCCGGGCCUUGUACACACCGCCCGUCACACCAUGAGAGCCGAUAACACCCGAAGCCUGUGAGCUAACCGUAAGGGGGCAGCAGUCGAAGGUGGGGUUGGUGAUUGGGGUGAAGUCGUAACAAGGUACC
rnacentral:rRNA from 1 species